GCCGGGCAUGGUGGUGUGUGCCUGUAGUCCCAGCUACUUGGGAGGCUGAGGCUGGAGGAUCGCUUGAGUCCAGGAGCUCUGGGCUGUAAUGCGCUAUGCCAAUCAGGUGCCUGCACUAAGUUUGGCAUCAGUAUGGCGACCUCCUGGGAGUGAGGGACCACCAGGUUCCCUAAGGAGGGGUGAACCGGCCCAGGUUGGAAAUGGAGCAGGUCAAAACUCCCAUGCUGAUAAGUAGUGGGAUGGUACCUGUGAAUAGCCACUGCACUCCAGCCUGGGCAACAUAGUGAGACCCCGUCUCUU
rnacentral:SRP_RNA from 1 species